AAUGACAUGAGUACUGAAAUGAGGUCAGACUCCUUGAGCCGCUUUGAAGCGGCUCUAAACAGACGACAAAUUUGUGAUUGAUGCAAGGAACAUAUUACAUUGUUCAAUUUCCAUUGUCUAAGGUUUUAUUCCUGAUUCAUUCAAGGAACAGGUACUGUUAUGCAACUUCCCUAUAUGCCCCUGUUGUCAUAGAUUAUAUUCCUGCAAUAGUAUUGUUGUCAUAUUUAAUAUCCAGAUCUUCUGUAUAGUUUUACACAUCAGUUAAAUUACGCAUUUUGAAU
rnacentral:misc_RNA from 1 species